ensembl:lncRNA
CGGGGUCACCCUGACGUCUCCGCGGAUCCGCAGCUUCGGUCUCCAAAUUCAAAUGCCGUGAUCACAGUCCACGUCUCUGCAUAUAUACCACAGUAUCACGUACAGGAUGAGCAAAAUGGCAAAAAUAAACAGAGCUACAAGGAUAGCCUUAGUCACUGGUGAGAUGAGAGACUGCAUUUCAGCAGCCGGCGCACGAGCACAGCUCACUUCGCAACAGUCCGCCGAGGCGCAUGGAUGCUCGACCGCCCGCUCGCUCCUCACCAUCCGAACAGACCUUCGGCUUCUGGAGCUGGAUUCUCCCGCAAUCUCCAGCGGAUUAUUCACACGCGUUCCGUCGUUCGUGGUGGAGACGCAUCAUGAGCGGUCCUCUGGAGAAAGCCGGCGGCUGCGAACCGUGCUCGGAUUGGAGAGCAGACGCAGCGGCUCUGGCUCUGGUGUGGAACAGGUUGAUUCGCCUUUUUCAACUUCAUCAGAUGGAACUGUCCAUUGAAGCCCCGUGUGAAGGGGGGAGACCACAGAGGUUGACCCUCAGUGAUAGAAAUGAACAAACAAAAGAGCAAAGAACGUUAUGAAGUGUAAAAACUCACAUUUGUUUCAUUUAUGACAUAAAUACGAUUAUUACUUUAUCUGAGAUAUUAGUACUACUGUGGCCACUGAUAUAGCUAUACUUUCAAGGGUUAAUAAUUGUAUCUAUUUUUUUUUUUUUUUUUUUUUGCAGAAUCCAGUUAGCCAACAUUUUUUCUUUAACAAAUACUGACUUUCUUAGAUAUUUUUAUAAGUAAAACUAUAAAGUGUCGAAUAUUGGCACUUUCCUUAACGUUCCAUCCGAUUAUUGUAAAGCGCUCAAGUUGCGUACUGUUGCUAUGGUUACCUCCUCAGGGAUAGCAAUUCCAGCUUGUUUGACGCCAUGUAAAAUUAUGCGUCCUGACAAACUCGCACUGACUGUUUGAGAUACAUUUGUGAUAAAUAACACUAUACAGUGUCAAAUAGUGCCACAUUUUUGUUAAUGUGUUAGCCGAUAUAUCGCUCAAGUCACAUACUGUUGCUAUGGUUACCUCUUCAGCCAUAGCAAUAGCUUGUUUGAUGGCAUGUAAAAUUAUGUGUCCUGAAAAACUUGUACUGACUUUUUGUGAUAAAUAACACUAUACAGUGUCAAAUAACGGCACUGUUUUGUUAACAUUUUAGCCGAUAAAUCGCUCAAGUCACAUACUGUUGCUAUGGUUACCUCUUCAGCGAUGACAAUUCCCAUUUGCGAGAGCCUGUUUGAUGCCAGGUAAAAUUAUGCGCUCUGACUAACUUGUACUGACUUUUUUAGAUAAAUGUGUGAUAAAUAACACUAUACAGUGUCAAAUAAUGGUACUGUUUUGUUAACGUUUUAGCCGAUAAAUCGCUCAACUCGCGUACUGUUUAAUCCCAGGUAAAAUUAUCCGCCCUGACUGACUUGUACUGACUUUCUGAGAUACGUUUAUGAUAGAGUAAACUAUAAAGUGUCAAAUAUUAACACUGUUUUGUCAGAGUUACACCCGAUGAUGACACUUUCAUAAAGCACUCAAGCCUGGUACUGUUGCUAUGGUUACCUCCUGAAGAGAUGCAAAUUCUGUUUGCUAGCCUAUAAAUAAUGCCAGGUGAAAACACACACCCCUCGACUUUUUUUAGAUAGUUUAUGAUAAGUAAGACUAUAAAGUGUCAAAUAUUGUCACUGUUGAUGAUGCUAUAGUAAAGCACUCAAGUCAUAUACUGUUGCUAUGGUUACCUCUGCUCACGCACAUGCAUUUACGGCCAGUUGAAAUUCUAAUGAUAAAAUAAUGAUUACUGAAGUUUGUCUUUCGAGAAAUCAUACUUCUUUGUACAUCAAAAUUUCACGUUUAGUCUAUUUAAUGUGUUACUUUAGUUUCUUUGUAGUUAGUUGUGUAAUGUACUAAAAGUAAAGUUUUUUCUUGCUGCAGUGUACGCUUUUUGUGCUUUUACUUAAAAAAAAGAAAAGAACUAGAACUGUUUGUUUACUAACGUUGGCAGCUCAAGCCUCAUCCGCACCGCGCCCUUCUGAUAAGUUACCCGUGCAAACAAAGAAUUAGCACAGUUUGCGUUCUGAGCGACGAAACCUGCCUGAAGACAGAUAUGACAUUCAGCUCCUGAGCUCGAGCUCAGUGCGUGCUGCUGAAGUUCAGUAGUGAAAGGUUUCCUGAACGUUACAGAGGGAACUUCCCCAGCGGUCCGAAACGGAUGAAUGGAGCUGCUCUGCUCUCAAAGCCCGAGCACUUCUGGCAUAGGUGGGUUUCUAGCAAACUGAAAACCAAUGCUGAAGCCCCAAACCGCUGUCUAAAAAGAAGCCAGCUUGCUAGGUUUUAAACCAACUCCGUUCAUUGCGUUCCGUCGCUCUGGGGAAGUUCAACGUUUAGGAAACCUCUCGAGACGCAUUCGGGGGACUGGGUGGGUGUUUACUGCAAAAUCGUUCUAGGAGGUCAAGAAACCUUGCUAUGAAUUUAAACGCGAUUUCUAAAGGAAAACAAGAAUGGAUCAAUAACAGUAACGUCAUGCACUGAGAUAAAUAGCGUGGAAACCCAUGUGCACGGUGCGCGCUUUUGUUCAACCCAGAAGCGUCGGGCGGGGGAGGGACGCCUCGUGCAUCCUCCGUGUGCACGAGACUUCAGUGAGAAACAAGCGAGACAGACCUGCAAUUGGAUCCUACACAAGUCAAUCCCACAUGUGGGUGGGCGGUGGAUUCAGAGCUGCACACCCAGUAAAGUUUGUGCAACAAAAGGUUGCGGGAAAGUUGCGCACGAACACGAUUCACACUUACACCUGAACUCUACAUGCGCUAAAAGCGAUCAAGCAAGCUGCCUUUAACACACGAUUGAGCUCAGUUUCAUUCAAGCCACAAUGAUGUCAUACUUGUGGAUUUUCGUCCUUGGAAGUUUAAUCGUGACUGGAGUGAAGAUGCAAGACGAUGGAGUGGAAGGCGCAGACAAUGCCGCUGCAGACGCUGAAGAACCAGCUAAAGAACCAUCACCUGAAGAAACAUCACCUGAAGAAAUAUCACCGGAAGAAACAUCACCGGAAGAAACAUCACCUGAAGAAAUAUCACCGGAAGAACCAGCACCUGAAGAACCAGCACCCGAAGAACCAGCACCUGAAGAACCAGCACCUGGAGAAAUAUCACCUGAAGAAACACCUGAAGACCCAGCGGAGGAUGCUGUGGAUGAGGCAGCAGCUACUGCAGAGCCUGAAGACACCAACCCUGAGUCAGACGCUGCGAUAGAAGAGGCUGAAGAAACACCAGCAGCUGAAGAGAAACCUGCUGAAGCAGAAGCAGAAGAAGCAGCGGCUCCUGAAGCAGAUGACGCCGAUGCAACUAAAACAGAAGCCGAUCCACCUGCUGAAGAUCCUGAACAAGAAAUCAAGCCCGAAGAAGCUCCAGAUGAUGCAGAAACAGAGGAAGCACAAGAGGAAGCAGAAGGAGGGGAAGCAGAAGCAGGUGCAGAGACUGAAGCAGACUUUACUGCUGUACCAGAGGAACCUGUGGACCCUGAAGGGGCUGUGGAAGAUAUGUCUGCAGAAUUCGAUCUUUCUGAUGCGUUCGAAGAGAAAGCACAACCACAGGAUCCAGUAAAGACAAAAAUGGGAGAUGCAGACCAGCACAGCGCAGGUCAAGGCAGAGCUCGCAGUGCUGGAGCAGUUUCUGAGCCGAACGACAGUGGAUCUGGUACGGUUGUUGGUGUUGUUUGUGGGAUUGCAGUAGCAGCUGUUGGUGCCAUAAUCGGAUACUUCACCUACCAGAAGAAGAAACUGUGCUUCAAGGUCCAGAGAGGUGAUCCAGAGAGUGCCAAAGAAGAGAACGGCACACAGAACCCUGAGGUUUUAAGCACCCUCCUGAAGUCAUCUGAACACGCCCCUGCAGCCGGCAGUGAACUUGCGUGAAGCUACUGUGAACUGCUUUACAUGGGAGCAGGACGUUGUAACUACCCACAUCUUGAGAACCGGAUGAACUUCACAAACACAUUCACAGUACAGAAAGUCAGCACAAAUAUCAUUUCUACACUCACUCUGAGUUCCUGACGCACAUUAAGUCCUUUUUCAUAAUAUCUCAUCUUCCUACUGCUUCGACUACAGUUCUAAACUAGCACAUAGGACUGUUAAUAAUACAUGUUUUGAAUGUAAUUUCACAUCGUUUGAGUGGAACGGGAUGUGUGCGUGUAUGCAUGUGUAAUUCGACAGCCUUUUGGUAGAGGCAUUUCAUUUCGUUACUUUAAAAAAUGUCGUUUGGUUUCAUUACUGUGUCAUUGAUCGCAGUUUUGUUUGAUGUCAAAUUGUUGCCUCUGAUUCAUAAAAGAGCAAAUCUCACAAUGUGGAAUGAUUCAAAUUGUAUUGUCUGACCAAACAGAAUUCAUAGGAAUUUUUCUUUCUAUUUUUUGUUUUGUUUUAAAAUUCUGUAAAUAAUUGUUGCGUUUGAAUAAAGAGUGGUUACAUUUAAAAGACGUUACACAUUUAAUUGCACAGUUUCAUAAUGCAACGAAAAAAAAAAAACAGAAUUGCAAAUAAAUUAAAC